rnacentral:rRNA from 2 species
GUGACCUCAAAUCAGGUAGGACUACCCGCUGAACUUAAGCAUAUCAAUAAGCGGAGGAAAAGAAACUAACAAGGAUUCCCCUAGUAACUGCGAGUGAAGCGGGAAAAGCUCAAAUUUAAAAUCUGGCGGUCUUAUGGCUGUCCGAGUUGUAAUCUAGAGAAGUGUUAUCCGCGCUGGACCGUGUACAAGUCUCCUGGAAUGGAGCAUCAUAGAGGGUGAGAAUCCCGUCUUUGACAUGGACUGCCAGGGCUUUGUGAUGCGCUCUCAAAGAGUCGAGUUGUUUGGGAAUGCAGCUCAAAAUGGGUGGUAAAUUCCAUCUAAAGCUAAAUAUUGGCGAGAGACCGAUAGCGAACAAGUACCGUGAGGGAAAGAUGAAAAGAACUUUGGAAAGAGAGUUAAACAGUACGUGAAAUUGCUGAAAGGGAAACGCUUGAAGUCAGUCAUGUCAUCCAGGGAUCAACCUUGCUUUUGCUUGGUGCACUUUCUGGUUUGACGGGUCAGCAUCAAUUUUGACCAUUGGAAAAAGGUUGAGGGAAUGUGGCAUCUUUGGAUGUGUUAUAGCCCUUGGUCGUAUACAAUGGUUGGUAUUGAGGAACUCAGCACGCCGCAAGGCCGGGUUUAACCACGUACGUGCUAGGAUGC